rnacentral:rRNA from 1 species
GACGAACGCUGGCGGCGUGCUUAACACAUGCAAGUCGAGCGGGGAUACAAGGGAGCUUGCUCCUGAGUAUUCUAGCGGCGGACGGGUGAGUAACGCGUGAGCAACCUUUCUCUCAGUGGGGAAUAACACAGGGAAACUUGUACUAAUACCGCAUGAGACCACAGAGUCGCAUGGCUUAGGGGUCAAAGAUUUAUCGCUGAGAGGUGGGCUCGCGUCCGAUUAGGUAGUUGGUGAGGUAACGGCCCACCAAGCCGACGAUCGGUAGCCGACCUGAGAGGGUGAUCGGCCACAUUGGGACUGAGACACGGCCCAAACUCCUACGGGAGGCAGCAGCGGGGAAUAUUGGGCAAUGGGGGAAACCCUGACCCAGCAACGCCGCGUGGAGGAAGAAGGUUUUCGGAUCGUAAACUCCUGUCCUCAGGGAAGAGCAGAAGACGGUACCUGAGGAGGAAGCCCCGGCUAACUACGUGCCAGCCGCCGCAGUAAGAC